GGGAAGCCGGUAUGAGGGAUCACGGCGGCCAGGGCCCUGCAUGCGGCGGCAUUCCUGAUGCCGGGGCUCGUCUGCCGCCUCUUUCCUCGUGAAACCCGGAGCUGGCAUCGGGAUCGCUAGUUUACUCUUAGCCAUCUGUGGUGACCUUGGGUCUCCUUCAGGGCACCUGGCGGAAAGCACGAAAGCUGGGGAGAUCCUGGAGUCACAGGUUGUCCAUUUGAGCCUGGCACUUAUUUCCGCCUUACCUAGGAUGCUUGCUUAUAAAUAACGAACCCAGGCUUAUGUCCUGAGAGUUGACCCUGUGCCAGAGUGUGGUCCAGGGAUCUAGCAUUAACAAGCCAUUUGUAAGUUAGGAAGAGGCUUGCUUCUUAGCGUCUGUCGAGCCUGAGUCCCAGCUGCGAUCUUCAGAGUGGAGCGGAGCGCCUCGCUGCUCCUCCACCAGGGAAGAAGUAAAGUGUACUUGUUAAGAUCAUGGAGGGAGCAUGUAUGUGUGUGGAUGCCAGAGGACAACUUUGUUUUUCAUCAGACUGUGUCCACCUCCCUUGUGACAGGGUCCCUGGUGGCCUGAAGCUCACCAGUUAAGGCUGAACUGACUGGCCAGUCUGCCCUCCUCCAGCUCCCCAGUGCAGGAUUACAUACCCGGCCACAUAAGCUUUUUAAAAAAUCCAUACAUUCUAUUUUGUAUUAUUUUGUGGGGGUAUGGCAUGUGCAGAGUGGAAGUCCGAGGACAACUUUCAGGAGUCGAUUGUCGACUUCCACUUGGGGUUCUGAGGAUUGAACUCAGGUUGUCAGGCUUGUGUAGAAAGCACCUGUACCCAUUGAAUCACCUCGAUGGCCCACACGUCCUGCUUUUUUCCUGGGGGGUUCUGGGGCUCAAACUCCAGGCCUUGUGCUUGAAAAGCCUGGGCUUUACCCCCAGCCCCAGAACCCUGAUAAUGGUUUUGAGACAAGAGUUUGAGGGGCCCAAACUGUCCUCAGAACUCAUGAGUUUUCUUCAGUUUCCUAAGAGAGCUAGAUUUACAGGCAAGCUCCAUCAUUCUUGGCUAUUAAAUUGGUGUUUGGUUUUGUGGUGUUGGAAGUCUGAAUCCAGGACCUUAUUAUACAUGCUAGCUAAGCACACAUCACAGAACUGUGCCCCUUAUCCCUAAUCAGCAACACCUGCAAUAAUGCAGCCAGUCAUCUCCAGACCCUCAGCCACCUCGAAUGGGACCACAAGCCUAAGAAUCUGCUUGUUAGGUGUUUAACCAUAAAUAAACCCAUCUCCAGAAGUUGUUCUCAGAUGUUUGCUUUUGCCCCUACUUCCUUGGAACUUGAUGUGUAGACCAGAUCUGCCUGCCUUUGUCUUGGAAAUUGUGGUUUUAAAAGCAAAUGCCACCCAUGGCUGCUGGUGACAUUUUUGAAAAGCUGUUAUUGUCCGUUGGAGAAGUGUCUAACAAACAAGAUUUGCCACAGUAACAAAAAGGCCGAUGAAAAUUGUUACACUUUGGCUCUUAGAGCUUAGAAGAACAUUGUCUAUUCAGGAACUCCUGACUGUAUGUGUUGGUGGAGGAGGAGGUUUACAGUUUAAUCUACUCAUGAGGUCCAUCUUGUUUGGGAAGAAGAAUGGUUUGUUUACACUCUUGAUUUCCUGACACAAUCCCACUGGUACUGGAUGUCAAAGUAGCUUUUAGGUCCGGCAGCACUGCAGAAAU
ensembl:lncRNA